rnacentral:rRNA from 1 species
GUUGGCCUCGGAUCAGGUGGGGAUACCCGCUGAACUUAAGCAUAUCAAUAAGCGGAGGAAAAGAAACCAACAGGGAUUGCCUCAGUAACGGCGAGUGAAGCGGCAACAGCUCAAAUUUGAAAUCUGGCGCAAGCCCGAGUUGUAAUUUGUAGAGGAUGUUUCGGGUGAAGCCACGGUCCAAGUCCCUUGGAACAGGACGUCAUAGAGGGUGAGAACCCCGUACCUGGCCGUCGGCUCCCCCCGCUGUGAAACUCCUUCGACGAGUCGAGUUGUUUGGGAAUGCAGCUCUAAAUUGGUGGUAAAUUCCAUCUAAAGCUAAAUACCGGCCAGAGACCGAUAGCGCACAAGUAGAGUGAUCGAAAGAUGAAAAGCACUUUGAAAAGAGAGUUAAAAAGUACGUGAAAUUGUUGAAAGGGAAGCGCUUGCGGCCAGACUUGCCCGCGGUUGCUCAGCCCGCCUUUUGGCGGGUGCACUCUUCCGCGGUCAGGCCAGCAUCGGUUUGGGCGGUCGGAUAAAGGCGUUGGGAACGUGGCCUCCCCUCGGGGAGGUGUUAUAGCCCGGCGCGCAAUGCGACCAGCCCGGACCGAGGUUCGCGCUUUGCUAGGAUGCUGGCGUAAUGGCCGUAAGCGGCCCGUCUUGAAACACGGACCAAGGAGUCUAACAUCUAUGCGAGUGUUUGGGUGUCAAACCCGUGCGCGUAAUGAAAGUGAACGGAGGUGGGAACCGCAAGGUGCACCAUCGACCGAUCCUGAUGUCUUCGGAAGGAUUUGAGUAAGAGCAUAGCUGUUGGGACCCGAAAGAUGGUGAACUAUGCGUGAAUAGGGUGAAGCCAGAGGAAACUCUGGUGGAGGCUCGCAGCGGUUCUGACGUGCAAAUCGAUCGUCAAAUUUGCGUAUAGGGGCGAAAGACUAAUCGAACCAUUUAGUAGCUGGU